rnacentral:rRNA from 1 species
CGUAGGGUGCGAGCGUUAUCCGGAAUUAUUGGGCGUAAAGAGCUCGUAGGCGGUUUGUCGCGUCUGUCGUGAAAGUCCGGGGCUUAACCCCGGACGUCUGCGGUGGGGUACGGGCGAGACUAGAGUGCAGUAGGGGAGGACUGGAAGUUCCUGGUGUAGCGGUGGAAUGCGCAGAUAUCAGGAGGAACACCGAUGGCGAAGGCGAGGUCGUCUGGGCGUGUAACUGACGCUGAGGAGCGAAAGCAUGGGGGAGGCGAACAGGAUU